rnacentral:rRNA from 1 species
GACGAACGCUGGCGGCGUGCCUAAUACAUGCAAGUUGAGCGAUGAAGAUUGGUGCUUGCACCAAUUUGAAGAGCAGCGAACGGGUGAGUAACGCGUGGGGAAUCUGCCUUUGAGCGGGGGACAACAUUUGGAAACGAAUGCUAAUACCGCAUAAUAACUUUAAACAUAAGUUUUAAGUUUGAAAGAUGCAAUUGCAUCACUCAAAGAUGAUCCCGCGUUGUAUUAGCUAGUUGGUGAGGUAAAGGCUCACCAAGGCGAUGAUACAUAGCCGACCUGAGAGGGUGAUCGGCCACAUUGGGACUGAGACACGGCCCAAACUCCUACGGGAGGCAGCAGUAGGGAAUCUUCGGCAAUGGACGAAAGUCUGACCGAGCAACGCCGCGUGAGUGAAGAAGGUUGUCGGAUCGUAAAACUCGGUUGGUAGAGAAGAACGUUGGUGAGAGUGGAAAGCUCAUCAAGUGACGGUAACUACCCAGAAAGGGACGGCUAACUACGUG